UACGGCUACGCGGCGCCGGCGGUGCUGGCGCGGUCGUACGUGGCCCCGCGAGCCGUCAGCGGCUACAGCAGCGGCGUCACCCACGCCGUGGCGGUGGAGAAGCACACGGUGGCGACUCCGCUGGCGUACGGGUACCGCGCUCAUGCCUACGCGGCGCCGGCCGUGGUGGCCAAGAGCUACGUCGCCCCUGCUCACGGAUAUGCUGCGCCGGCCGUCGUCGCUAAGACCUAUGCCGCCCCGGCCUAUGGCUACGCUGCCCCGGCCUAUGGAUACGCCGCCCCGGCCUAUGGAUACGCUGCCCCGGCCUAUGGCUACGCUUCCCCGGCCUACGGCUAUGUUCACUGAACACCACGGUGGACCUGGCCGCCUCGUCUAGAGUCCACGCCCGUCUGCGCCCCAUCGGCCUCUCGGGCGGGACUGAGCGAGGCGGACAACGUUGCGCGCGGAUCUCGACUCCACACCCUCGCCGAUGUUCCGUCGGCCAGUUUGUGCUCAAUCAAAACACGUACUGUUGUGUGCUCAGCAACUGUGCGACCGCACAGUGGCUGUUGUCUGUUCAAAUGCACGUGAAUACAUUCUCACUGCGCGUUG
rnacentral:lncRNA from 1 species